GCCUCCGUAGCUCAGGGGAUAGAGCAUUGGUUUCCGGUACCAAAGGUCGCACGUUCGAUUCGUGUCGGGGGCACUA
rnacentral:tRNA from 1 species